rnacentral:lncRNA from 1 species
AGGAUCACUUCCGAAACCACUUGGCCUUCAGCCCCUGCCUCGGCCAGAGGUUUCAUUUUUAACUGAAUAUUUACGAAAGCUGAAAGCGUGCGAGGGGGGUGGGGUGGAAAUAGCGGCUGCUUCUUUUCCAAGGAUUUAUUUAAUGGGGAUGUGUUCAAGGCAAGACCGAAUUCAGAAGGAUAUCGACGUCGUGAUCCAGAAGUCCAGAGCUGAGGACUGCCUGUUUGCAGGGCCCGCCUGGCAGGACGACUGAGCAAGUUCUUGGAAAACCAGAGAUAUUAGAGCGGUGAAUCGCGCUGGUCACGUUGGACACCUGCGCGUUAGGAGAUUCUGGAGCCAGAGGGAGAGACCCCAGAAACGCCCCGGUCGGCGACCCAGCCCGAGACGCCUGGGGUCCCAAGGGAAGCUGAACGCCCGGUGGGCUCCCGGGAUGGUUCUUCCGGUUCUUUGUGCCGCCUUCACCCAGUGAAGGAGCCUGUAUCCACCCUGCCCAGUCGCUGUUGGGCUGCUGCGGAGCUUCCGCUGCCAUCUUCGGAUCCUGUGUUCCGCCCGGGGCUCCACCAGGGCAGGGAUGGUGCAGAAUGGGGAAAUGGAGAGAGAACCUGAAAGAGCCCCAAACUCGAGGACCUAUUGCUCCCCAAGAAUAACAUCUUCCAGAACUAGACAGAAAACUAGGCGUCUGGGAACCCUGAAAUCCUUGGAGGAGUAGAUCAUCAUGACCCUCUGUGUUCCUUUUGGCAAAUGACUUGCUUCCAUUGUUUGUUUGUUCAAUUGUCUGUUUGUUAAAUAAAUAAAACCCUUUUUAUGUAUCUUUAAAAUUA